UACGGAGGAUCCAAGCGUUAUCCGGAUUUAUUAGGUUUAAAGGGUGCGUAGGUGGCCUGUUAAGUCAGGGGUGAAAGACGGUAGCUUAACUAUCGCAGUGCCCUUGAUACUGAUGGGCUUGAAUGAACUAGAGGUAGGCGGAAUGUGACAAGUAGCGGUGAAAUGCAUAGAUAUGUCACAGAACACCAAUUGCGAAGGCAGCUUACUAUGGUUUUAUUGACACUGAGGCACGAAAGCGUGGGGAUCAAACAGG
rnacentral:rRNA from 1 species